GACAUACACCAACCAACAAUAUCACAGAACCCCCCAAAUGGUUCUAUCACAGAGAAACACUUGGAACCGGAAGAAAUCCGGCAAGUGUGAGAGAGGAAGAGUGAUGUAGCAGAGAUCCACAUGUGGAAACGACGGUGGUACCGUGGUUUCCGGUCACUGCAGCGGCGGUCAACAGUGGUGGUUAGGGUUUCGAUUGCGGUUUCAGGAGGGAUCAGCAGAACGCGACAAUGAUGAAGAUGGCCGGCGAAAUACCUAGGGUUUCGGCUAAGUUCCGGCAGAAGGAUUAAAGCUUGCAUGUUCCAUUUUCAAGUAGAUCGGUGACCGGAUUCGUCUGCAUGUGUGUUUUUCCGAUUAGUAAGGUAUAACCCAUCUACCUCACCCCAUCAAUCCAUCACAACAUCUCUGCCUCUGUCCCCGGUUACGUCUGGCGACCAAAGGUGAGGUUUAUUGUUGGGGUUUACAUCAUCCUAUAUGUUCGUCGUCUUCUCUUCGUUCUUUUGUUGUAGAUGACUGAGUUUAGAUGGCUUAGGACUGAACUGGAUAAAUAUAGAUAGGGUGGGUGGGUUUAAUUCUUUUCAGGCUGGUCAUGUAGUUGGAUCCCAGGUUUGGUUAGACUGAACCCAUUUUUUGUUGAGCCAAUAAUCUUUGCUUUUCAAUUGAUUUGUAGGAAAAAGGUUUAUUUCCAUUGUUCCUUGUCUUUCCCAUAAUAGUCAACUUGAUCAAUCUUUCAAGUGCACGCUACCAAACUCCACAUAUGAAGAAGUGACGAACUCUCAGACCAUUGAUCAUAUGGACAGAGACAACAAUUAGCCACUUAAUUUGUUUGUUUGUUCGUUCGAUUGAGUGGUUAAUUAGUGUAUAAAAAGAUGCUAGCCGAUAACGGAUUUGAUUUUUAUAGGCCCUGGCUGUUCAUUGGUUGUAGAAAGGGCGUUUAUGAAGCACCCUCCGCUUAAACCAAGUGGUAGGUUUUGGUGGAGAAUGAUUAUAGCUGGAAUAAGGCUAUGACAUUGACUUUUGGGACAUCAAAGAUUGGGGUUUAUGAAAACCGAUAUGCCACAGCAACUGGCAUAUCGAAUUGAGGCACAGGUUCUAUAAGUUUUUUGAGGUAGUUUGUUGAGGGUUUAUAUGAUUUAAUUGCUAAAUUUGGAUACUAUAUGGUCUACUGCUGCAGUUUUGUUAUCAUAUACUUUGAAGUUUUCACUUUUAGUCUUUUUUAGCUUUUGAUCUAACCAGAAAUAUAUAUUGUAAAGAUAAAAAAAGUCCAAUUUAUUGCUGCAGUUUUAUGGUAGGUAGAUAAGAAGAUUAAUAGGCAAAAUUGGGAUAAAAAAAAUAAAUUCAAAUAUAAACAUUGUUCAAAAGUUUGAAUUUUAUGCACAUAUGUUAACAGAGCCUGACAAAUAUAUACUCAAAAUGUGUAUUCAUGUGUUUUCCCUAGGAUUAUUAAGUUUGUUAUUAUUUGUAAAAAUUACGUGUUAAUUCGGAUUGAUAAACAGAGUAUUAGUGGGGAAAGGAAUGAUGGAAUCAAGAGAACUGGCGGAGAUUAAAAGCGAAGCGUAUGGGUGGUAGAGGAGGUUAAAGGCAAAGCGUACAGGUGCUGGAGGAGAUUAAAGGUGAAGCAUACAGGUGGGCGAAGAGUUGAAGUCAACUUUUGGGUCUGAAUCAUGAGAAUUGGGGCAAUUUCACAGGAGUGCGCUUUGGCUAAUACACAUGGGUUUCCUUUUUUCUUUUUUUCUUUUUUAUACUAUUUGGCUCUAUCUUUCGUUGUUUUGGUGUACUGCUAUACUUAGCAGCUUGCUAAAGCUGGGUUACUGUUUCCUGUGGUAAUAAAUUGGUUCUU
rnacentral:lncRNA from 1 species